rnacentral:tRNA from 1 species
UUUUUAGGAGUGCUAAAAUAGUUCUUGUAAUGCUUAGGUCGUGGGUUCGAAUCCCACCAUCGGCUCCA